UUAGGUUGGUGCAAAAGUAAUCACAGUUUUUCUGACAUUUAAAGUAAUGGAAAAAACUGCAAUUACUUUUGCACCAAC
rnacentral:miRNA from 1 species